UCUUGCUUUCAAAAAGAAAGGAAACUUCUUUGACUCCACCUCCAGGACAGUCCUAUCUUUUGCUUCCCCUCCAAGGCCACUUUGGAAACGGGUUAUUUGCACGGGCUGGGGCUGGGGCCUCACCUCCCACUCACUCCUGUUACUUUCAUUUGGCUUCCAACUCCACGAAACCCAAGAAAUGUUGGUCAGUAAAUCACCAGUGAUUUCCCGGCCGCUCCUGUUAAAGGCCACCUCGUGGGCCUUAUCACCCAAAGCAUUCCCAGCUCCUGGGGUCUUGGGGGCGCCCCAGGUGACUCCCUGAGGAAAACUGCCCCAGGCUGACACUCCAGUAUCCCGGCUCACCUCCCCCAAGAUCCGGUGUGAGUUUCUCUUUCUCGGGCAACUCCUCUACUGUUGGUCUUUCUCAAGACCUACUAAUGGGCUCCUUUCUUCUUUUCUUCAACACUCUUUCCCUGGGUAAAUCCCUCCACUCUCACAUUUCUGUUUGCCCCAAACUGUUCAGGUUUGCCCCCUGUUUUUCCAGCGCAGUUAUUCACAGCACCCUUCCCCCCACCAGAAAAAGUCCCACUUCGGAUGGAAACAAAUUAUCCAAGUCCCCUUAUCAAUCACCAUUUGUAUGCAGAUGCCUCCUGAAUUGCGGCAAAGCCCAGUGGCUCAGAGGGGGGCUCGGAAUCAGCUCCCUGGGUUUAUAUCCGGUUCCACCGCUUACGAGCCUCUGAGACCCAGGGCCGUUUAAGUCAUUUUUUUUGCACUCCAGAACCUUCAUCAGAAAAACGAGAAUAAUACCACGAAUCUCUUUAGAAGUGAGGGUUAAAUGAACGAAGUCACUAGCGUGAGGUCCACCGCGUUUUUAAGUGCUCAAUAAAUUAAGCCAGCCCAAACUUGUCUCCUGAGUUCCAGACGCAUUCAGACGCCAAUUUAUCCUACCAUCAAACCAUGGCUGAAUUCCUAAGAUAAUUCUCUUGUGACCUUUGGACAAUCUUCCUAAAGCUACACUAUGCUAUAGACGGAUCUGGAAGACCUGCGUUCCCACCGCUCUGUGUGUUGGCAGCAGUGGGACCAAGGACUUUGCCAGUUUUAAGCUGCAGGGCUUGGAACCAGAAGAGAGACAAGGUCCAAGAGGAGAGAAGCUCGCCUGGAGAAUGGAACGGGCAAACUCACUCUGACACUGGCUUUUUUCAAGUCCUGUUUUCCUCCCUUCAGCUCCGAGUUUGGACCCGUGAGCUUCCCUUCCUGCUGCCAGGUUCAGCCGGGCUUUUGGCUUCUCUAUCCCUCAGUGACAAAAUCAUGUCAACGGCUCUGCACUCACCAGGGUUAACUGUGGAAAUCAGAUGCAAUGCUCUGUAAACUUUGCACAUGUUCGUUGUUGUUAUUCUCAAGCCACGUCUGCAUGUUCAAGGGUUGGGAUGUUGCUCGUUAAGAGAGCUUUCCAGUCAAAUGAAGGACUUAAUUUAUUACUGAGAAAUGCUAAUUUCACUUGUUAUUCAGUAACAUUUGGUGUCCACUCCACCAGUAUACUGUUUUACCUGGUUGUCUGUGACAUUGGUAUUUUAUUUUUCUCCAUUUUACACAUUCAAAAAUUAAGUUUGGAAGAUGAAGUCGUCUGCCCAAGGUCGUCUAUUUUAUGAAAAGCAGAGCUGGGAGUCAAAACUGAUGCCAAGCCUUUGUGGUCAACCACAACAUACAAGAUUGCACAGACAGCCGAUGCUUCACAUCCUUUCUCCUGUUCACAACUGGCUGUCUCUUUUUACUCUACGUUUUUUAGAGAUAGGGUAGUGUAUCGAUCAUAAAUCUUUCUUAUUACAAAAUAACAGUUGUCUCUUCAGGGCUGUCCAGUUAAGUGGGGGUAGGGUGAAGGGGGUUAGGACGGUGAUUCCUCUCUACAGUAAGUGCCCAAGAAAUGAGGAUCCUAAUUAAUGCUUAAAAUAAAAUGGGAAAACUGAAAAGU